CCUACGGGAGGCAGCAGUGAGGAAUAUUGGACAAUGGGCGCAAGCCUGAUCCAGCCAUGCCGCGUGCAGGAAGACGGUCCUAUGGAUUGUAAACUGCUUUUGUACAGGAAGAAACACUCCCUCGUGAGGGAGCUUGACGGUACUGUAAGAAUAAGGAUCGGCUAACUCCGUGCCAGCAGCCGCGGUAAUACGGAGGAUCCAAGCGUUAUCCGGAAUCAUUGGGUUUAAAGGGUCCGUAGGCGGUUUAAUAAGUCAGUGGUGAAAUCUGGUCGCUCAACGAUCAAACGGCCAUUGAUACUGUUAGACUUGAAUUAUUAGGAAGUAACUAGAAUAUGUAGUGUAGCGGUGAAAUGCUUAGAUAUUACAUGGAAUACCAAUUGCGAAGGCAGGUUACUACUAAUGGAUUGACGCUGAUGGACGAAAGCGUGGGGAGCGAACAGGAUUAGAUACCCUGGUAGUCCACGCCGUAAACGAUGGAUACUAGCUGUUGGGCGCAAGUUCAGUGGCUAAGCGAAAGUGAUAAGUAUCCCACCUGGGGAGUACGUUCGCAAGAAUGAAACUCAAAGGAAUUGACGG
rnacentral:rRNA from 1 species